rnacentral:rRNA from 1 species
GUGCCAGCAGCCGCGGUAAUACGUAGGGUGCAGGCGUUAAUCGGAAUUACUGGGCGUAAAGCGUGCGCAGGCGGUUUUGUAAGUCUGUCGUGAAAUCCCCGGGCUCAACCUGGGAAUUGCGAUGGAGACUGCAAGGCUAGAAUCUGGCAGAGGGGGGUAGAAUUCCACGUGUAGCAGUGAAAUGCGUAGAGAUGUGGAGGAACACCGAUGGCGAAGGCAGCCCCCUGGGUCAAGAUUGACGCUCAUGCACGAAAGCGUGGGGAGCAAACAGGAUUAGAUACCCUGGUAGUCCACGCCCUAAACGAUGUCUACUAGUUGUCGGGUUUUAAUUAACUUGGUAACGCAGCUAACGCGUGAAGUAGACCGCCUGGGGAGUACGGUCACAAGGUUAAAACUUAAAUGAAUUGACGGGG